UACGUAGGGUGCAAGCGUUAAUCGGAAUUACUGGGCGUAAAGCGUGCGCAGGCGGUUUUGUAAGACCGAUGUGAAAUCCCCGGGCUUAACCUGGGAACUGCAUUGGUGACUGCAUAGCUAGAGUACGGUAGAGGGGGAUGGAAUUCCGCGUGUAGCAGUGAAAUGCGUAGAUAUGCGGAGGAACACCGAUGGCGAAGGCAAUCCCCUGGACCUGUACUGACGCUCAUGCACGAAAGCGUGGGGAGCAAACAGG
rnacentral:rRNA from 1 species